CACAUGCAUCUGUCAGCAGUCACAUCUCCAAGUAGGGGUUGCAGUCCAGUAGAGAAGAAACAAUAAAUUUGUCUCUGCAGGAACAUAGUGUGGUUUAUCAAGGGAAUGAGAGAGUAUACAAGGUCUGGAUUUGAGAAUGCCUCUAAGAGCUUUGUAGCAAAGGACCUGGAUGUGUCCAUGGUAGGCCGUUCCUUCAUAAUCACCGGAGCCAACAGCGGAAUAGGGAAGGCAACGCUCAUGGCCAUAGCCAAAAAAGAUCAAUAAUGCCAGAUGUAUGGUGAACCAGAGGGAAAUAAACUCUGACGGACUGGAAUUUUUUGUUGCAACCAAUAAACCUGGUGUUUAUGUUCUGAAUAAAUGUCUGAUUCCAUUGCUUGAGAAGAGCAGGGACCCUCGUGUUGUGAGUGGAUAAACAAUAUUGAUCUCAACGCCUUGAUUUAUUAAAUACAAUUGAG